rnacentral:rRNA from 1 species
AUGAACGCUAGCUACAGGCUUAACACAUGCAAGUCGAGGGGCAGCAUUUUAGUUUGCUUGCAAACUGAAGAUGGCGACCGGCGCACGGGUGAGUAACACGUAUCCAACCUGCCGAUAACUCCGGGAUAGCCUUUCGAAAGAAAGAUUAAUACCGGAUAGUAUACGAAUAUCGCAUGAUAUUUUUAUUAAAGAAUUUCGGUUAUCGAUGGGGAUGCGUUCCAUUAGUUUGUUGGCGGGGUAACGGCCCACCAAGACUACGAUGGAUAGGGGUUCUGAGAGGAAGGUCCCCCACAUUGGAACUGAGACACGGUCCAAACUCCUACGGGAGGCAGCAGUGAGGAAUAUUGGUCAAUGGGCGCGAGCCUGAACCAGCCAAGUAGCGUGAAGGAUGAAGGCUCUAUGGGUCGUAAACUUCUUUUAUAUGGGAAUAAAGUUUUCCACGUGUGGAAUUUUGUAUGUACCAUAUGAAUAAGGAUCGGCUAACUCCGUGCCAGCAGCCGCGGUAAUACGGAGGAUCCGAGCGUUAUCCGGAUUUAUUGGGUUUAAAGGGAGCGUAGGUGGAUUGUUAAGUCAGUUGUGAAAGUUUGCGGCUCAACCGUAAAAUUGCAGUUGAAACUGGCAGUCUUGAGUACAGUAGAGGUGGGCGGAAUUCGUGGUGUAGCGGUGAAAUGCUUAGAUAUCACGAAGAACUCCGAUUGCGAAGGCAGCUCACUAGACUGUUACUGACACUGAUGCUCGAAAGUGUGGGUAUCAAACAGGAUUAGAUACCCUGGUAGUCCACACCGUAAACGAUGGAUACUAGGUGUAGGAUGUGAUAAACAUUCUGUGCCGUCGCAAACGCAAUAAGUAUCCCACCUGGGGAGUACGGCCGCAAGGUUGAAACUCAAAGGAAUUGACGGGGGCCCGCACAAGCGGUGGAGCAUGUGGUUUAAUUCGAUGCAACGCGAAGAACCUUACCAGGUCUUAACAUACUCGUGCUAUUCCUAGAGAUAGGAAGUUCCUUCGGGACACGGGAUACAGGUGGUGCAUGGUUGUCGUCAGCUCGUGUCGUGAGAUGUUGGGUUAAGUCCCGCAACGAGCGCAACCCUUAUGGUCAGUUACUACGCAAGAGGACUCUGGCCAGACUGCCGUUGACAAAACGGAGGAAGGUGGGGAUGACGUCAAAUCAGCACGGCCCUUACGUCCGGGGCUACACACGUGUUACAAUGGGGGGUACAGAGGGCCGCUACCACGCGAGUGGAUGCCAAUCCCAAAAACCUCUCUCAGUUCGGACUGGAGUCUGCAACCCGACUCCACGAAGCUGGAUUCGCUAGUAAUCGCGCAUCAGCCACGGCGCGGUGAAUACGUUCCCGGGCCUUGUACACACCGCCCGUCACACCAUGAGAGUUGGGAAUACCCGAAGCCUGUGAGCUAACUUUUAGAGGCAGCAGUCGAAGGUAGAAUCAAUGAUUGGGGUG